ACAGUGGACGCGAGCAUCUUUGUUGUAAGUGUUUAAGAGCGUACGGUGGAUGCCUUGGCACCAGGAGCGAUGAAGGACGUAGGAGGCUGCGAUAAGCCUCGGGGAGCUGUCAACCGAGCUGAGAUCCGAGGAUGUCCGAAUGGGGAAACCCAGCCACAGUGAUGUGUGGUUACCCGCGCCUGAAUAUAUAGGGCGUGUGGAGGGAACGUGGGGAAGUGAAACAUCUCAGUACCCACAGGAAGAGAAAACAACAUGUGAUUCCGUGAGUAGUGGCGAGCGAAAGCGGAAGAGGCUAAACCAUGGGUGUGUGAUAGCCGGCGGGCGUUGCAUUCGUGGGGUUGUGGGAUCCGUCUUGUCAAUUCUGCCGGAUUGGCCGACAGUGAGAAAUCAUCGUGUUAGUCGAAGUGGUCUGGAACGGCCUGUCGUAGAGGGUGAGAGUCCCGUAGACGAAAACAUGGUGACUGUUGUGACGGACACCCGAGUAGCAGCGGGCCCGUGAAAUCUGCUGUGAAUCUGUCGGGACCACCCGAUAAGCCUGAAUACUCCCUGGUGACCGAUAGCGGACUAGUACCGUGAGGGAAAGGUGAAAAGUACCCCGGGAGGGGAGUGAAAUAGUACCUGAAACCGUGCGCUUACAAUCCGUCAGAGCCUGCGCCACUUUUGGUGGGUGGGUGAUGGCGUGCCUUUUGAAGAAUGAGCCUGCGAGUUAGCGGCAUGUCGCGAGGUUAACCCGUGUGGGGUAGCCGUAGCGAAAGCGAGUCCGAAUAGGGGCGUUUGUAAGUGGCAUGUUCUAGACCCGAAG
rnacentral:rRNA from 1 species